AUGAGAGCUUCCCGGACUCUGCAGAGUGGGAGUGCUGUUUGCUGAAGGUACAGCAUUGCCAGGAGGUGUGGUACAGAGAAGUGCUUGCCUGCCUCAAGGAGCCCUGCUCCCUACAAGCCACCGCGGGACAGGAACAGCCUCUCAAACACUGCUGUGGAGUGGCUGCACGCCUUUGUGGCACUGCCUCUUCCUCUCUGUCCCAACCCCAAGAGGGGUCUUAGGAGAAGAGUGGCAGGAAGCCUUAAUGGAGGGAAUGCUAUGGGAGCUGGGAGAGGGACUGUUCUUCCAGGCACCUCUCCCCAGAAGGCUGCAGUGAUUUGGGAAUGAGGGAAGAGGCAGAGGGCAAGGGAACAUUGGCUUCUCCUGUUCUCCAGCAAUUCCUGAGGGCAUUGCUGGAGACCAUAGAGGACGAGGCCUGGACCGAGGCCCUGAGCUGUGAGCUGAGCAGGUGGCUGAGCUGCUCUCCCAGCAGCUCUGGAGAAAAGGUGGGCUCCCCCCCAGCUCUACCCAGCAGUCACCCAUGCAGUCUUUCCUGUAUAAGGCUCUGGGGACGGCACUGGGAGCUUGUAAAGGAGUCCUCCACAUCCAAGAGAAGCUGCUGCAGCACCUGGAGGAAACAAAUGCGGAGGAGCCAUCCAAGGCCCAGAUGGAGCUGGACAGCACGAGAGCUCAUGCCACACGCAGCUCUCUAAUCCUCGCCCAUGGCAGCUUAGCACUGCGUGCCUCCAAGGAACAGCUGCUUGCCUGCCUGGAAGGAGACAUCAUGGGCGACAUCCUGCUGCUCUACAGCUGCAGCUGCCGGGACUUGCUGAAGAAGUAUUACUUGGGCAUCCCUGUCUCCCAAGUGCCCCUCAGGGUGGUUCUGGCCCUGGAGCAGUUGAGAUGAAUUAUUCCGACUUUCCUUUCUCUGGAGAAACAUCCAUUGACAGCAGUGACAUCUUGCUUGAAGGAAGAUGGUGCUGAACAGAAAUCACAGCUGCUGUGGGAAAUGCCCUGGGAAAACGUCCAGCAACCGAAGGAAAAACCGAAGGUUAAAUGAGAUCAAGUAACAAUGCUUUGGCUUUGGACAUGGAACAUGAAGAAGAGUUCCCACAACUGAAGUGGUUCAUGUGACAAGUGUCAAGUUUCUGACUGGAGAUCUCCCAGGAAGGAGAAGAGGGAGCAGGAAGAAGAGCAAUUUUGUGCAUGGAUGGUAAAAGUUGCCAGAUGAAGAAAUAUGCAUUCUGGAACUGCAGUAAGACCUGGUAUUUGCUCACCAACACCUUAUGGCUGAACACAUGAAUAAUGAGUGCAACAAUGCUGGCAGUAACUCAAAUGGAAACUGGGACUUACGGUAGAAGGAAAAAGAAUUACAAAAAAUAAAAAUAAAAUCAAAGGAUAAAAGAGUUAAAAAAGAUAAAAAGUUUUAAAAGAUAAAAGAGUUCCUGACCUCUAAGAACACUGCAAAAGGAAGCAUGGAUGCAGAACAUUGCUCUGAGCUGUAAAGUGCUCCCCUGCAACCUCCUGCGCCACACCAAACAAGUCAUGAUCAUCAGUAUGUUGGAGACCUGUACUUGUUCAUUUAUUUUCAUCAGCUGCAAAUAUUAGGAAGAGACAGUUGCCAGAGAGGAGUUGCUCGACAGAAAAGUCAGAAAAUUCAGAAAAUGAACAUCUCAGAGCCCAAACCAUGCAAACAAAUCAGUGGCCUCGUCUUCUAUUCAAGCUAUCUCCAUUUCAUCUGUAACAUAGAGUUUGCUAGCUCUUAUUGUCACUUUCAGGCUCUCCUGUCCCAACUUAAUGUAAUAAUAAAAACAGGUACUUUUUAGUCUAUUUAAAUGGCAUUUAAAAUAUUUAUAUUGCUCUUUCAAAGAAAAAUAAACUAAAUUUUGGUCAAAACUAUUAUAAUGAUGAUAUAUUAAUCUUGGAAACUGCCAUCUGUUGUAAUUUACUUUGUGCUUUGACACUACUUUCACUGUGAAACUGUCUUCAUUGCCAAAAGCAAAAUAUCAUUAAA
ensembl:lncRNA